UACGUAGGGUGCGAGCGUUGCCCGGAUUUAUUGGGCGUAAAGGGCGCGUAGGCGGCGUGGUAAGUCACUUGUGAAAUCUCUGAGCUUAACUCAGAACGGCCAAGUGAUACUGCUGUGCUAGAGUGCAGAAGGGGCAAUCGGAAUUCCUGGUGUAGCGGUGAAAUGCGCAGAUAUCAGGAGGAACACCGAUGGCGAAGGCAGGUCUCUGGGCAUUAACUGACGCUGAGGAGCGAAAGCAUGGGGAGCGAACAGG
rnacentral:rRNA from 1 species